GACGGAGGGUGCUAGCGUUGUUCGGAAUUACUGGGCGUAAAGUGUGCGCAGGCGGCCGAGCAUGUCGAGUGUGAAAGCCCCGGGCUUAACCUGGGAACUGCGCUCGAAACUACUUGGCUGGAGUGUGGCAGAGGAAGGUGGAAUUCCACGUGUAGCGGUGAAAUGCGUAGAGAUGUGGAGGAACACCGAUGGCGAAGGCAGCCUUCUGGGCCAACACUGACGCUCAUGCACGAAAGCGUGGGGAGCAAACAGG
rnacentral:rRNA from 1 species